ACCCGCGUUGAAGGGACGAUACCCCCACCCCUCCAAAGGCAUCUCACCAACGUCGUAAACGUGAGUAGCGAUCGAAAAGACUACAAACGCACAGAAAUAUAUAUAUAUAUAUGUUGUCGAACUCUUUCACAGUCAAUUUUUUUUUUUGCGUUUCCUCCUCCUCACACAUCUUUGAUGUGUGCUUGUAUUUGUGUGUGUGUGAGCAUGGGUGUGAGCGCAGCUCGUUUUCGCUAUCCUUUUACGAACUUCUAUCGGUAGCCAUUUUGCUGUUCACUCUUUUUCCCGAUACUCUCAUUGAGCUCCUCUCUGCUCCUUUCUCUUCCGUGGCUUGCUGUUCUUUCACGAUGCUAACUGCUGCCUUAUCUGAAAGUUUGUCUCUCCGCGCCUCCUGAUGCCGGCCACCUCAGCUUUCGAUCAGGAUGCAGCACCUACUCUGUGUGGGGAAAGCCCAGAGCGUGCCCUCGUGUACGGCUGCGGACUGUGCGUGCCGACGGAAAGGGCUGGGCUGGCGCUGUGGCGAAGUGGCUCGCGGUCAUGAUGAUCAGGUUUGCACCGGCUGACUACGAGUCGUGUCAAGGAUUCGAAACGUACACGCCUCCCCCUCUUGUGUUCUGUGCUUUUGCUCCGACGCGGCGACGUCGAGUGUAG
rnacentral:misc_RNA from 1 species